rnacentral:rRNA from 1 species
CCUACGGGUGGCAGCAGUGGGGAAUAUUGCACAAUGGGGGAAACCCUGAUGCAGCGACGCCGCGUGAGUGAAGAAGUCUUUCUGUAUGUAAAGCUCUAUCAGCAGGGAAGAAAAUGACGGUACCUGAGUAAGAAUCCCCGGCUAACUACGUGCCAGCCGCCGCGGUACUACGUAGGGGGCAAGCGUUAUCCGGAUUUACUGGGUGUAAAGGGAGCGUAGACGGCAGCACAAGUCUGGAGUGAAAUGCCGGGGCUUAACCCCGGAACUGCUUUGGAAACUGUGCAGCUAGAGUGCAGGAGAGGUAAGUGGAAUUCCUAGUGUAGCGGUGAAAUGCGUAGAUAUUAGGAGGAACACCAGUGGCGAAGGCGGCUUACUGGACUGUAACUGACGUUGAGGCUCGAAAGCGUGGGGAGCAAACAGGAUUAGAUACCCCAGUAGUC